rnacentral:rRNA from 1 species
UACGAAGGGGGCUAGCGUUGUUCGGAAUUACUGGGCGUAAAGCGUAUGCAGGCGGAUCGUUAAGUCGGGGGUGAAAUCCCGAGGCUCAACCUCGGAACUGCCUUCGAUACUGGCGAUCUUGAGUCCGGGAGAGGUGAGUGGAACUCCGAGUGUAGAGGUGAAAUUCGUAGAUAUUCGGAAGAACACCAGUGGCGAAGGCGACACACUGGCCCGUAACUGACGCUGAGGCGCGAAAGCGUGGGGAGCAAACAGG